rnacentral:lncRNA from 1 species
UGCGGCAGGCUCCCGGCGCCGCGACGUACAGCCCUCUCUGUGACUCGCACCUGGCCUUCUUCAGGUCACACUCGGUGUCAUAGGUCACCCCAUCUGAGCCGCACACCUGCAGGGGUGCGGGUCAGUGUGGCAGCCUCAGCCCUUUACUCACUGCCCACUUGGAGUGCGGGUGCGGAAGUGCUUACUGGGCUCCUCAGGACACUCUGGCAGCUGAAGUCACAGACACACAGCCCAUCCUCUGAGUCCUCGUCCCAGAGGCCACCGCGCUGCUGGCACAGGUCCCGCUCACACUCGCCAUCCUCCCCAGAGCCAGAGCCUCCUGAGCCGCAUUCGGCUACAGAAAGAGAACCGAGUCACCCGGGGGCACCUUCUGGAGGCGGGUGCCCAGCAGCUAACACCAGCGGCCCCAAGCCGACCUUGCUCGCAGGGCCCGGCCCGGGCCUCCUCAAUCUGCACCUGCUGCUGGCAGGCAGCUUCCCGCAGGUCACACGCACUGGGGUAGGUGACUCCGUUGCUGCCACAGACAGGGCCGGGCGGGGGGUCCUCACACCGAGGACAUACACACUGCCCUGCCGAGCACACGGCCCCAAAGGCACACACUGCAUCCCCACACGUCUCUACAGGAGACAGAGCCGGGCAGGGGUCAGCAGAGCUUGGCCAGAGUCCGGGGACCCUGGCCCACCUGGCCUGUCGCCCCACUCACGGCAGGGUCCGGCCGAGACCACGUGCAGGCUGAUCUGCUGUGUACAGGCGUGGACGUGCAGCUCACACUCACUGGCAUAGGUGUGCCCGUCAGAACCACACACAGGCUGGGCUGAGGCCACGCACUCAGAGGGGCAUAUGCAGCGCCCAGUCUCAGCCUCACACAGAGCUCCAAAACGGCACUGGCCACACUGGUCUGGGGAAGGAGCUCAAUCACCAUGCCGGCCAGAAGGGCUAUCCUACCCACCAGACCCACUGCCCACCACCGACCACAGGACCCUCGGCAGGCCACCCAGAUCUCCUGCCCCAGGGCACAGCCAGGGCCCGCAGCUCGCACACGCUGCCGUACAUAUGUGGCACCGUGACUGCCGCACACAGGGAUGCAGGUGCCUGUGCACACCUGCUGGCAUGCACAUGCAGCCUCCCCAGUUUUUACUGCACACGCCCCCCCCCCCCGAAUGCACACUGAACUUCACAGCACGGGGAUGGGGCCUGGGCUGGGGAGGACACAGCACCCAGCCCACCUCAGCCUCCUCACUUGCUGUGGGCAAAGCCCCCAGCCCCACGCAGCAUCCCCCUCCCAGGGUGCGGAUGGCAGAGGACGAGCCAGAUGUGCAGGACACAGCAGGGAAAGGGACAGACACACCACAGAGGCAGAUGGGGACAGAAGCCUCCUAACUGCCCACAGCAGAGCACUGACCGACCCCUGACCACCAGCAGACCCAGGCCACCCAUGGACACGAGGGAUUCUCUCGCCACGGGUGGAAGGAGUCUGCACCCGAGUCACCCCCAGGGCUGCAUGGGGGAGGAGGUGUCUGUCCACUUGCUCUGAGGACCACAAGGCCAGGCAGCAGCGAGCCACCCCCCCAGCCAUGCCGGGGGCAGACCUCGGGCUGUGGGCUCCUGGCGGGCAGGCGCGGCACCUCAUCCUGCCAGCAGGUCAGGCUGGAAGACACAAGAGGCGGAGCCGAGAGGGAAGGACCGGAGGAGACAGACGCAGAAAAAGAGACCAGGAGGGCCGGGGAUUUAGCUCAGUGGUUCCGGCGCCUGCCUCGAAAGCGCAAGGUCCCGAGUUCGAUCCCCAGUACCAAAAAAAAAAAAAAAGUGAAAGAGAGACCAGAAAGAUGGACAGUGCACUGACAGAGUCGGACAGAGGCAGGCAGGGCUACAGCAGCCCUGGCCCCCAUGGGACACACCUACCACUGCCCGGCUGCCUCCACCCUCCCCUGGCCCCUUGGAUCCCAAUGGAGAUGCUGCCUAAGGAGGCUGGUGGCCAUGUCCCAGGAGUGUGGGAAGCCUGGUGUCAUGUCCACUCCUGCCAACCCAGGCUGUCUGUGCCCUCCUGCAGGACAAGACUGAUGGAGAGGUGGGGCAGAGGGCUGGCAGUGACCAGCGUGGGCAAGGGUGGGCCUGCGUCUGUCCCACUCGCCAGAGGUCCCGGACACCCACGCCAGAGCCUCCCAUCACCCGGAGCGACUCCCCUGGCCCAGAGUCCAGGAGGUGUAAGAUGAGCGAUGAAGAUGGCAUGUGAAGUCAGACAAGGACCGACGCGGGAGCAGGGGCUCACCACACAGGCCCUGGUGCUUGGUGGGUAUGGCACGCUGCUGCCGACACUCUGCCUGCUGGCGCCAACAGUCAUUGUCAUAUGUGCGGCCAUCCUGGGCACACACGGGCCUGUAGGCCCCGUCACAGGUGACGCGGUCACAGGAGCAGUGGGGACGGCCACGGCGAGACAGGCACACAGCAUUGAACUGGCAAGGCUCAGGGCACUGGUCUGCGGGCAGGCAAGGAGAUUGGAGAGGCCAGAGCAUCAGUCCCACGCCCGCACCAGCAGGAACCUGUAGGCUCACAGGUAGUGGCGGCGACAUGGUGUGCCAGGGAUGGCAGUCACAUGGGAGAGGAACUGGGAGCCACGCACCUCGAGGCUGGCACUGGCCAGAACGCACUUUCUGGAGGAGCAGGCCCCGGAGCACCCCAGUGCGGCCCAUGAUGCAGUCGUUUUCAUAAGUGACCCCGUUGUCCCCGCACACAGGUGAGUGCCGGGGAGGGCAGCUGCCCGGCCGCAGAAGCAUCUCCGGGCGCCGUGUGCGGGGGUUCACACGACAGAUGCGGCUCCGGUCAGCGAGGGCUCCCUGGCAGGGGUCUGCAAUGGGAGGCCAAGUCAGGCUGGUCGUCGCAUUCAUGCAUGGCCGGGGCAGCACAUGCAGGGGGCAGCGGGCUGCACUCACCACAGGGGCCGUCGAACUUCUUAGAGAUGUUUUCCUGGCGUGCACAGGCGUGGCGCAGCAGCUGGCACUCACUAGGGUAGUCGGUACCGUCAGUGCCACACACCGUGCCCUCUGGGGCCCCGUGGCAGUCUGCCCAUCAGCCAGGAGUGCACACGUGCUGCCAAAGCUGCAGGUCACGUUGGCGCAGGGGUCCCUGGACCCUGUGGGC